rnacentral:tRNA from 1 species
GCCGACAUAAUAUAACGGUUAUUAUAGGCCCUUGGUAAGGGUCAGAUCCAAGUUCAACUCUCGGUGUCGGCACCA